GACGAACGCUGGCGGCGUGCUUAAUACAUGCAAGUCGAACGGACAGGCCCUGCUUUUGUGGGGUGCUCGAGUGGCGAACGGGUGAGUAACACGUGAGUAAACUGCCCUUGACUUUGGGGUAACUUCAGGAAACUGGGGCUCAUACCGGAUAGGAGCUCCUGCUGCAUGGUGGGGGUUGGAAAGUUUCGGCGGUUGGGGAUGGACUCGCGGCUUAUCAGCUUGUUGGUGGGGUAGUGGCUUACCAAGGCUUUGACGGGUAGCCGGCCUGAGAGGGUGACCGGCCACAUUGGGACUGAGAUACGGCCCAGACUCCUACGGGAGGCAGCAGUGGGGAAUAUUGCACAAUGGGCGGAAGCCUGAUGCAGCAACGCCGCGUGCGGGAUGACGGCCUUCGGGUUGUAAACCGCUUUCGCCUGUGACGAAGCGUGAGUGACGGUAAUGGGUAAAGAAGCACCGGCUAACUACGUG
rnacentral:rRNA from 1 species